GGGGAUGUAGCUCCGUGGUAGAGCAUGUACUUCGCAGGUAUAAGGUCCUGGGUUCGAUCCCCAGCAUCUCCA